AACGCACAUUGCACCCGGUGGCAUUCCGCCGGGUAUGCCUGUUCGAGCGUCAUUUCUUCCCUCGAACCCAGUCGUCCUAGGACUCCUGGGCUCGGUGUUGGGGAUUGCGGGCCGUCCCGCAGCCCCUAAAGACAUCGGCGUACGUGCUGUACAGCCCCCUGCGUAGUGGUGUUAUCAUUCAGCGCAUCGGGCCGCAGCGUCGCACCGCCGUCAAGCCAAUUUUUCUGAAAUUUGACCUCGGAUCAGGUAGGGUUACCCGCUGAACUUAA
rnacentral:misc_RNA from 1 species